rnacentral:rRNA from 1 species
GACCUAGCGGCGGACGGGUGAGUAAUGCUUAGGAAUCUGCCUAUUAGUGGGGGACAACAUCUCGAAAGGGAUGCUAAUACCGCAUACGUCCUACGGGAGAAAGCAGGGGACCUUCGGGCCUUGCGCUAAUAGAUGAGCCUAAGUCGGAUUAGCUAGUUGGUGGGGUAAAGGCCUACCAAGGCGACGAUCUGUAGCGGGUCUGAGAGGAUGAUCCGCCACACUGGGACUGAGACACGGCCCAGACUCCUACGGGAGGCAGCAGUGGGGAAUAUUGGACAAUGGGGGGAACCCUGAUCCAGCCAUGCCGCGUGUGUGAAGAAGGCCUUUUGGUUGUAAAGCACUUUAAGCGAGGAGGAGGCUACCGAGAUUAAUACUCUUGGAUAGUGGACGUUACUCGCAGAAUAAGCACCGGCUAACUCUGUGCCAGCAGCCGCGGUAAUACAGAGGGUGCAAGCGUUAAUCGGAUUUACUGGGCGUAAAGCGCGCGUAGGUGGCCAAUUAAGUCAAAUGUGAAAUCCCCGAGCUUAACUUGGGAAUUGCAUUCGAUACUGGUUGGCUAGAGUAUGGGAGAGGAUGGUAGAAUUCCAGGUGUAGCGGUGAAAUGCGUAGAGAUCUGGAGGAAUACCGAUGGCGAAGGCAGCCAUCUGGCCUAAUACUGACACUGAGGUGCGAAAGCAUGGGGAGCAAACAGGAUUAGAUACCCUGGUAGUCCAUGCCGUAAACGAUGUCUACUAGCCGUUGGGGCCUUUGAGG